UACGUAGGGUGCAAGCGUUAAUCGGAAUUAUUGGGCGUAAAGAGCUCGUAGGCGGUCUGUUGCGUCGGCUGUGAAAACCCGGGGCUCGACCCCGGGCCUGCAGCCGAUACGGGCAGACUAGAGUUCGGCAGGGGAGACUGGAAUUCCUGGUGUAGCGGUGAAAUGCGCAGAUAUCAGGAGGAACACCGGUGGCGAAGGCGGGUCUCUGGGCCGAUACUGACGCUGAGGAGCGAAAGCGUGGGGAGCGAACAGG
rnacentral:rRNA from 1 species